rnacentral:rRNA from 1 species
GUACGUCUAGACGUAGUUUCGUAGUCCGUCGCGUCAGGACGAACGCGUGCGGCGUGCUUAACACGAUGCAAGUCGAACGAUGAAGCCCAGCUUGCUGGUGGAGUUAGUGGCGAACGGGUGAGUAACACGUGAGUAACCUGCCCUUGACUCUGGGAUUAAGACGUUGGAAACGAACGUCUAAUACCGGAUACGAGCUUCCACCGCAUGGUGAGUUGCUGGAAAGAAUUUGGUCAAGGAUGGACUCGCGGCCUAUCAGCUGUUGGUGAGGUAAUGGCUCACCAAGGCGACGACGGGUAGCCGGCCUGAGAGGGUGACCGGCCACACUGGGACUGAGACACGGCCCAGACUCCUACGGGAGGCAGCAGUGGGGAAUAUUGCACAAUGGGCGAAAGCCUGAUGCAGCAACGCCGCGUGAGGGACGACGGCCUUCGGGCUGUAAACCUCUUUUAGCGGGGAAGAAGCGAAAGUGACGGUACCUGCAGAAAAAGCACCGGCUAACUACGUG